AUACGGAGGGUGCGAGCGUUGUUCGGAAUUAUUGGGCGUAAAGAGCAUGUAGGCGGUCUGUUAAGUCUGGUGUGAAAGCCCGGGGCUCAACCCCGGAAGUGCAUUGGAUACUGGCAGACUUGAGUAUGGGAGAGGAAAGCGGAAUUCCGAGUGUAGGAGUGAAAUCCGUAGAUAUUCGGAGGAACACCAGUGGCGAAGGCGGCUUUCUGGACCAAUACUGACGCUGAGAUGCGAAAGCGUGGGGAGCGAACAGGAUUAGAUACCCCGGGUAGUCC
rnacentral:rRNA from 1 species